CCCUCACUUUAUCCGGAGUGUGAAGCUCACGGAUCCCAUCGCCGACACGGCUCCUCCACCCCUCUCCCUUCCCUUCCCGGCACCUCACGGAGGUUCAGCCCCAGCGUUUCCCCAGCGCGACCACAUCUCUCAGCGUGCACAGGGAACGCUCCGGAGAGGCACCGAGAGGGCUUAUCAAUAAGCGCCGCGGCCCGGCGGAGCCACACUUUUCGGGACAACCGGCCCGGCAAGCGCUGCCCUUGGAACCUCCGGCUCUACCGACUAGUUAACGCUUCCCGGGGCCCGCCAGCUCCCCGCCGCCAACCGCCUGCAGCGCUCCGCCUCACCGAGAGUGACGCUCCCUGCACAAGGGGCAGCGCCGGAUCCGUCUCCCGGGCCCGUGGCGGAGCGGCUUAUCCCGGCGAGGCGCCCCGCGGGCCAGCCCAGGCUCCCCUCAGGCGCGCGGCGACCGUUGGGCAGCACCAACCGCCCCCACCGCGCGCGCGCGCGCGAGCGGCCACCCUCCGCCCAAUCCGCGUCCCCGCUCGCCCUUGCUCGGCCGGCCCCGCCCCUUCCUUCGAGCGCCGUCCGUUACCGCAGCCGCUUGCUCAUUCGGGCCAAUCGCCGCCCUCCCUCGCCGCGCCGCCGCCCAAUCGGCGUGCGGGGAGGGCGGUGGGGGGGGAAAGCCAUGACGCAGCGAGUUUCCCCCCCCCCCCCCCCCCCCCUCCAGAACACCAGCCUCAUCAACCAGAAGAAGAAGAUGGAGAGCGACCUCUCCCAGCUGCAGACGGAGGUGGAGGAGGCCAUCCAGGAGUGUCGCAACGCCGAGGAGAAGGCCAAGAAGGCCAUCACCGACGCGGCCAUGAUGGCGGAGGAGCUGAAGAAGGAGCAGGACACCAGCGCCCACCUGGAGAGGAUGAAGAAGAACAUGGAGCAGACGGUGAAGGACCUUCAGCUGCGGUUGGACGAGGCCGAGCAGUUGGCCCUCAAGGGGGGGAAGAAGCAGCUCCAGAAGUUGGAGACCAGGGUCAAAGAGUUGGAGGCCGAGCUGGAGGCCGAGCAGAAGAGACACGCCGAGAGCGUCAAGGGCCUCCGCAAGGCCGAGAGGAGGGGCAAGGAGCUCACCUACCAGGUUGGGGGGCGGGGGAGAUGUGGGGCAGGAGGGUGGA
rnacentral:lncRNA from 1 species